AGCUAUUUUUACCUCCCUAAUUCCUCCUCAACAAAUAUACAUUUUGCUCAGAUCAACAUUGGAAAACACCAAAAAGUGACAGACAUCUCUAAGCUUAUUUAAUGAAUGGGGAAUUUGGUAUGGUAUGCGCACGUUAACUGAUACCUGCCUGCCCACAAUAGACAUCCGAAGGUCUUUACUCAGUCCGAAAUAUUGGUCCCCAUAUUUAGUUUUAUAAAAAGAUUUUGCUAAAUUAGAAAUCAUAUAAAUGGGGAAAUACCUUCAUCUUUCAUAUUUUGGAUGAAAGUUGAACUGUGGCCACAUGGGCUCUCUCAGGCAGAUGUAUAUAUUGAAGGGAUGUAUAUGUCUCCUAGCAUAUUUUGAAGGGAAGCCAGGAGUGAGGAAGCCAUGACUUCUAGAGUCAUGAUUCAGCCAACAUGACAGACGUAGAUGGUCUGGUCCGAGCCAUUUGCUUUGUUUACUUUGGCAAACCCGUUUACUACAGGUCAACAGAGACUGUAUUUGAAUAGAAUGUUUUUGAUGGUAGACUUCUGAAGGGCUGGUGCUCCCAGCCUUUUUUUAAUGCUCUGGGCCAACACCAUCAAGGAAGGGGUCCAUCAACCCCAGCUUGGGAACCCCUGAUGUAGGGUGACCGGAAACAAUGAAAAGUGCAACGAGGAUGCAAGUCUUUUCACUUUUGGCAUUUAACCCCAGACUGAGCCAUUUACUUCAGUCUGGGUUCCUGCGACCUCAUCCAGUAGAAGAAAUGAGAUCUGUUAACAGGUCUUGGGGCGGGGGGGUGGGGAACGACAGAUUCUAAUUUAUUCCAUGGUUAUGUGUUUUCAUUAGUUACCACCUUUGCAGACUCUUGUCCUUUCCCUUUCUCUUUCGUGGGAGCUUCCGAAGUUUCCAAUGUCUUGACUGGCCAUGAAAGGAUCUACAGAACAAAGGAGCUUUCUCAAAAUCAGCCGCUGAGCAUCCAAUCCAAGGAGCGAGAGCAGACGAAAGAGCAAACUGUAUUUUGAGCGUUAGUGGGAAUUUAAAGGCAUUUAACGGUUUGCAAAAUUUUAUUCAAGUCAAUAUUCUUGUUGAUUCUGUGCCAGGUAUAGACUGGUGCAGAACCCAAGAGAAGAUUCUGGAAUCAGGGCCCAGACAGGAAGUAGCCUGUGGAUCUCAGCCGAGAUACAACACAGAACAGACCCCUUCCAGCCCACUGAGCUGCGCUAUCCGACAACCCUAGCCUGAUCACAGGACAAUUUACAAUGACCAAUCAACCUUCUAACUGGUGGCUGGGGUUCUGUCGAAGACCCUGACCUAGAGCUACGCUGAAACUUUGCGGCGACGGUUCACCGACUGGCCGUUUCUCAAUAUUGCGGCCUAGAAGAUGAGCAUACCUUUGGGGUUCUGAGGCUUUGUGGCCCUGGGGACGAGCUGAUUCUAUGCUGGUGCCGGCAACUGAAAGCAGGAGCAGCAGGUCGGCUGUCAGGGGCCCUGUACUCGGAUUGUGCUCUCUCUCUCUCUCUCUCUCUCUUUCUCUUGCUAGUGGGGGAGAAUUUGUUGCUGAUCCUUGAGUCGGAGAACGCAGGGGUGAAAAAGCAACGCGGUAGAGUUUAACAUCACAAAUCAGCCAGCUGUUUGUCUUUGCUGGUCUCCCUCUCGCUUUGAAAGGGUGACACUUCUCUCCCUUUAUUAGGGAGAGAGAGAGCGAGCAUGUGGCAUGUCCAAUUGUUGGGUGAAUGAGUAGUUUUUGUUGUACUGCUGAUCUUUGGGGCUUUGCUGUUGUUUGCUUGGUAGGUGGAGAGUGUUGAUGGUGUAAUUGGGGGAGGGUUGUUGCUUUGCUGCUGGUUACCCGUGGGAGGGGGGGAGUAGGGGACUUUGGGGUUCUAACUUUUUACUAUUCCUCAUUCUUUGGGGAACACUUCUGUUUUUGUGAAUGCCUGUGAAGCACAAGAAUUUCAGGUUUUCUAUUGUACACAUUCUCUGAUAUUAUUGAAUGAUUGAAACACGUUAGAAUCAGUGAAAGACCACACCAACAGGGUGGACAACCAGUCUGCAAAAGACAACAAAAUGUGCAAAUAUAAAUGGAAAGCGGAAAGAAAUAAUAAUAAUGACAACAAUAAUAAUACAGGAUAAACAUGCAAGAACUAUUUAUUUAAUAGAUUUAGCCAUUCCAAACUCACGUAACGCACAGAAAUCAGCAAGUGAAAAAUACCAGAAAUAUGCUGAAUUAGUAGAGGAAAUUGAAAGACUCUGGAACAUGAACAGGGCAUACAUUGUCCCAAUAGUAAUAUCUACAACUGGUGUCAUCCCAAACUCAUUAAACAAUUAGGGCUACACAGCAAUAUCUACGUAAAUCUUCAGAAAGCCACAAUACUAAACACCACUUGAAUAGUCUGAAAGUUCCCAGCAAUUGAGAAAUGAGCAAGUUUGGCUAUGCCCGUAUCUCAUGUUUCACCAGUCUGAGCCGAGAAAAAAUAUAAUAAUAAUAAUAAGCAAUUAAUCUUGAGAGCAUGAGACAAAGAGACCUUGAAAGUGAAUCUCUAAGUUGUGGGAACAGUUCAGGGAUGGAGCAAGUGAAGUUAUCCCCUCAGGCUCAAGAGCCUGUUGGUUCAGGGGGUAAUGACUGUUCCUGAACCUGGUUGGGUGAGUCCUGAGGCUCCUGUACCUUCUUCCGGAUGGUGGCAGUAAGAAGAGAGGAUGACCUGGUUGGUGGAGUCCUGUGAUAAUGGAUGUUGCUUCCCUGUAGAUCUGCUCAGUGGUGGGGAGGGCCUUACCCGUGACGGGCUGGGCUAUAGCCACUACUUUCCAUAGGAUUUGCUGUUCAAGGGAGUUGGUGUUUUCACACCAGGUUCUGAUGCAGCCAGUCAAUAUACUCUCCACCACACGUGUAUAAACGUCUGUUGAAGUCUUAGAUGUCCUGCCAAAUUUUCGCAAGCUUCUAAAGAAGUAGCGGCACCGCUGUGUUUUCUCGUAUUUGCGCUUACGUGCUGACCCCAGGACACAUCACCUGAAAUGAUAUCACAGAGAAAUUUACAAUUGCUGACCCCCUCAACCUCUGAUCCUCCAAUGAGGAGUGGGCCAAGAACUUCUGAUCUCCUCUUUCUGAAGUCAAUAAGGCAAUACGUCUUGCUGACGUUGAGUAAGAGGCAGUUGUUGCGGCACCACUUGGCCAGGUUCUAAAUCUGCCUCCUUUAAACUGAUUCGUCACCACCUUCGAUUUGGUCUACGACUGGGGCGUCAUCAGCAAACUUGAAUAUGGCAUUGGGGCUGUGCUUAGCCACACAGUCGUAAGUGUAAAAUGAGUAGAGCAAGGAGCUAAGCACACAGCCUGGUGGUGCACCUGUGCUGAUGGAGAUUGUGGAGGAGAUGUUGUUGCCAAUCCAAAUUGAUUGGAGUCUGCAAUUGAGGAUCCAAUUGCACAAGGAGGUAUUGAGCUGAGGUUUUGGAGCUUAUUAAUCGGUUUCGAGGGGAUGAUGGUAUUGAAUGCUGAGCUGCAGUUGAUAAAGAGCAUCCUGAAUGUAUGCAUCUUGGCUGUCCAGAUGUUCCAGGGUUGAAUGAAGAGCCAAUGAGAAGGCAUCUGCCAUGGAUCUGUUCCUCCGGUAGGCAAAUUGAAGCGGAUCAAGUCGUUUCUCUAGCUAGACUUAAUAUGUUUUAUCAUCAGCCUCUCAAAACACUUCAUCACUGUGGACAGAACUGCUACCUGUCAUUCAGACAGGUUAUCACGUUCUCCUUUGGCAUCGGUAUGAUUGAAGCCUGCUUGAAGCAGGUGGGUACCACACACUGCCGGUGAGAGGUUAAAGAUUUUAGUGAACACUCCAGCCAGUUGAUCAGCUGAGGACCUUAGAACUUGGCCAGGUACCCCAUCUGGGACAUGUUUCUUGUGGUUCACCCUCCUGAAGGCUGCUUGCCCGUCAGCCUCAGAGACCGAAAUCAGAGGAUCAUCGGGAGCUGUGGGAGUUCAUGAAGGCUGCUCCAUGUUUUGACAGCCAAAGUGAGCAUAAAAGGCAUUGAGCUCACCUGUGGUCACCUACGUUGCUUGAUAAGUGGUGAUUGCGUUCAAGCCCUCCCACAACUGUUGAGCAUCCUUUGUUGAUUCAAGUUUAGUUUGGAAUUGCCAAUUUGCCCAUGAGAUGUCUUUCCGGGGGUCGGAGUUGAACGCCUCUGAUCUGGCCCUCAGCAGUUUGGAGAUCUCAUGGUUCAUCCAGGGCUUCUGGUUGGGAGGACUCUCAAUGUUUUUUGUGAGGACACAAUUGUUUCAUAAAGUCCGUGACAACCAUUCGUUCAGAUCCACAGAUGAGUCCCUGAACGUGGCCCAGUCCACUGUCCCAGCAGGGUGUAGAUUGGUUAUAUGAUAACUGGUCCAAACAGAGAUAAAAGGCAGAUGGAUUUUAAUCCAAACCAGUAUGAAGCGUGCCACUUUUGUAAGAGGAAAUUAUACAGAUAAUGGCAGGAACCUUAAUAGCAUUGGUGUACAGAGGGAUCUUGAGAUCCCUAAGAGAGGCCACACAAGUGGACAGAAUGGUAAAGAAUGUACAUGACACGUUGCGUUCAUUGGUCAUGGCACUGGCUAUGAGUCAGGAAGUCACGUUGCCGCUGUACAAAACUUUGGCUAGGUUUCACUUGCAGCAUUCUGUUAAUUCUGGUUAUUCCAUUACAGGAAGGACAUGGAGAAAGGAUAUAAGGGAGGUUGACUAGGAUGCUGCCUGGACUAGAGGGAAUAAGGAGAGGCUGAACAAACUUGGGUUGUUUACUCAGGGGAGUGUUGAAGUCUGAGAAGAGACAUGAUCGAAGUUUAUGAGAUUAUGAGAGACAUAGAUAGGGUACAGUCAGAAUCUUUUUCCUAGGGUAGAAAUGUCAAAUACUGGGGAAACUAUAGUUAAGGUGAGAGAGGGAAAAUUUAAGCUCUACAGCCUGGAAUGGGUUUCCUGUGGUAGUGAUGGAAGCAGGUGCAACAGUUGUGUAAAAGUCACUUUUACUGUAGGUAGGUACAUGAACGUACAGAAAAUGGAAGGAAGUGGACCAUGCGGAGGCAAGAGAGAACUAGUUUAAUUUUGACUAAGCAUUUGGCACAAAUGUCGUAGGCUGAAGGGCUUGUUCCAGUGAAACUAUGUUUAAUGGACUAUCUAUACUUCCUGCUCUAUCCGUUAAGCAACCAGCAUAAUUAAAGACCCCAGCCAUCCUCCAAAUU